UAACCGGUGGUUAAUAAACCGUAA
rnacentral:siRNA from 1 species